UACAGAGGGUGCUAGCGUUGUUCGGAAUCAUUGGGCGUAAAGGGCGUGUAGGCGGUUUGCUAAGUCAUGUGUGAAAUCCCUCGGCUUAACCGGGGAACGACGCACGAAACUGGCAGCUAGAGUACCAAAGAGGGGGUGGAAUUCCCGGGUGUAGCGGUGAAAUGCGUAGAUAUCGGGAGGAACACCUGUGGCGGAAGGCGGCCCCCUGGU
rnacentral:rRNA from 1 species